CAUGUAAACGCGGCUAGUGUGUGUCAAGGGUUCAUCUUGUUUUCUUAGAACAUUAGAAGCAUGCAAGUGCGUUCCAUUCGAUCAGACACGUUUUAUUUUCAGUUAGGCUACUGUAUAAUCAGUAAGACCACACCAUAAACACAUAAGCCCAACAUUAUACAUAGAUCAUAGAUAGGUCUCAGCAUGAAAUGGAGAACAUUUGAAGUUGAACUUGACCACUGGUUUGACAGCCUGCACUCUGUGUGUCACUACAUAAUAACAUCACUACAUACAAGUAACAAACGCUCUAGCCAAAUGUCAUUAGAGCUACAGUUAUUGAACAUUCAUGCAACAGCCUCAAGUGGCUUUACAAAUGUGUUUUGUCUCUGCUCAUUAUGACAAACUAAUUGUUCUGCAAUCAUUUUCCUGUCCAACAGAUCCAGCUUGUGCUUUUGAACAUAACACACGGUUACACUGUUGAGACAUGUUUGUGUCAUUGUACUUCGCAUCCAUGUUUUCAGCCUUCAGAGGCUGCUGAAGCUCCUUUCAGCUUUAUCACACAGUGUGUGUGUGUGUGUGUGUGUGUGUGUGUGUGUGUGUGUGUGUGUGUGUGUGUGUGUGUGUGUGUGUGUGUGUGUGUGUGUGUGUGUGUGUGUGUGUGUGUGUGUGCGUGUAUCAAACAAACACACAAUGAGUCAUACACACACACACACACACACACACACAGUGUAUCUGCUCGCAUUUCUUCCAUUUUGUAGGCCUAGAUGUAUGUAAAAGUUCAUAUAAUUGAUCAUCGCUAUUUGGAAUGAUUAUUUCUUCGCCUAUUCCAGAACACCCCCACUUUUGGAAAGCUUGAUACGCCCCUGAUUGUGGUUUCGGAUCAGUUUAAUACUACAGUGUGCACAGUGAUCUGGGAGCAGCUUUAUGAGGCUGUGCUUCUGCAUGGACAUGUACAGCAUCAUAAAUCCCCUGCAUGUUAAUGGGUUGAUGUGCAAUGAGAUAGAUGAACAGCAAUGCUGAACAGUGCAUGAUACAGCCAGCACAGUUAAAUGACACAAAGAAAUAAAUAACACUAUUUAUUUAACUUCUAUUUCUACUCAGGGAAGAUUCAAAGUGAGCAAUCAAACCCUGGUUGGAUGUGUCAUUUAGCCCUUUGAGUGUGGUGUAUGUGAUAAUGCGUAGCAUAGCUCAGGGCAGACAUUGUAGGCAUCAGCUCUAGCCAAAGGCCAGGUUCAAUGAAGUGGACUGAAAUAUGUUCCCACCUGAAUGGUGCUUUGGCUGUGCAGUUCACAUGCACAGUUUGUCCACAUGCACCUAUUCAUCCCCCAGCGAUUGUAGCCCAGCUUCUUUUAGGUUUUAGAUUUUAGAUAUGUUAAGUUUAAGUCUACCUUCCUUUUUUUACGUGAACUUGCCUCACUGUUUAAAUAAUGUCUGCCUCUGACUCAUCAAUUGUUUACUUAUAUUCCUCAGGGCCCGAAAGGACCAAGAGGUGAAAGGGGACCCCAGGGCCCUGACGGGAGGGACGGCAGACCUGGCAACCCCGGCCCUGCUGGGCCCCCAGGACCCCCUGGCCUCGGCGGAAACUUUGCUGCUCAGUAUGAUCACAACAAAGGCGCUGAUAUUGGUCCCGGCCCCAUGGGAAUGAUGGGAAUGAAAGGCCAACCUGGACUUCCCGGCCCCCCUGGAGAAAGAGUGAUAAUCCCUUGAGUCCGGACUUUGUUCCAUCUCUUUUCAACUACGUUCCAUCUCCAGAGAAGAGGAAAAGAAAAAUGAGACUGGAGGUUUUCAACAGACGACAGAGAGCAAAGCUACAGAAGAUGGAGCAGACAAAGCUAUCUGCGAAAGCCAUCCCUCCCAGAGCAUCAACAGAUUGUCCCCAAGACUGCAACAAGGAUCCUACUGCAGAGCAAAGUCCCACCACAGAGCCUUUGAAGGAAUCUACCCAUGAAGAACCUGGAAACGAUGUCCAGCCUGUUCUCCAUGAGGAGGAUCCAGCAACCCCACCAUGCACCACUGAAACCUGUGGUAAACGCGUCCAAUCUCUUGAGCAAGAAUGCCAAGCUCUGAGGACUGAAAAUAUGUUGUUGAAGGAAAAAAAUGAAUAGGACUACACUGAAUGAGAUGAGCUUGCAUAACGAUGAUAAAAGGGUUCAUACUCUCACUGGUUUAUCAGCAUUCUCCAUUCUCAUGACAAUUUUUCAUAUUGUGGCUCCUUUUCUCCAACUUAAAUCUAGUUUAACAUGUUUUCAGCAGUACAUGUUAACUUUAAUUAAGCUUAGAAUGAACUUGUCCUUUGAGUUUUUGGCUUUUUAUUUUGACAUUGACUCAAACACUGUUUCAAAGCUCUUCAAACACUGCAUUAGUGUGAUGCAUUGUAGACUGGUGCCAAGUCUGGUGUUGUGGCCUGACAGAGAAUACUUAAGAAAAUCUCUUCCAUACGCAUUUCGAAACCGUAGCUUUGAAAAGACAGUUUGCAUUAUAGAUUGUUUUGAAAUAUUUCUAGAGAAACCCAGUAGAUUGCUAGCCAGUGCUCAGUGUUACUCAUCAUACAAAUCACACCACACAAUGAAAUAUUUAAUUGCAAUUUGCCCUCGAGGUUCCAUUUGUUUAAUUUCCGCUGGAUGGGGAGGUCGCACAAGUGAUAAGUUUAUCACAGAACAAAGUCACUUUUUUAUCUCAUUUGCUCCCAGGGGACGUAGUUUUAGCGGACAGAGGUUGUCUGGUUAAAGAGUCCAUUGAGAGAUGCCAAGCUGAAUUAAAAAUUCCAGCAUUUACUCAUGGAUAGAAGCAGUUAGAUCCUGCUGACUUGGAGAACACCAGACGUCUAGCCUCUCUUAGGAUACAUAUUGAAAGAGUGAUAGGAGUUCUCCGUCAAAAGUACACAGUCUUGCAAAGCACUGUCCCCAUAUGUUUCACGGACAUAGACAGGGAAAAUGAUGUGACCUACCUUGACAAGAUGGUGAGCGUGUGUUGUGCACUUACAAAUGUGUCUGAAUCUGUGGUGUCCUUCCAGUGAUGGGGAUGUACAGUACAUUGAACUGAUGUGACUGGCUACAGAUGUGCUCAACCAGCAAAUAAACCUUUGUGACUCACACUUCUUGCUUGCUUGUCGUGACAUUAUUUUUAAUCACUCGCUAUUCUGAUGCCAUCACAUCGUUUCUCUUUGCAGAUCAAGCUGCACAUCCACCCAUUCUAACUUGAGUUCCACCCAAACAGAUAUUUGUUCUGGUGUGUUUUAUAUGAAUGACCCACCCAUGUUUCAUAUCCCUGAUUGCUACAGAUAUUUAAUACAAAUUAUGGGGAAGAGAACAAUAUUGGUUUAACAACUGUUUAUUCAUAAAUAACAGUACAGUAUCAGCUACUACAAACAACUCAUUUCACAGUCUCCUCACUAAGGUUUUCUUCUUUGGGCAUUGAUCACUUUUCGGCGGAUGGGACAUACCC